AGAGUUUGAUCCUGGCUCAGGACGAACGCUGGCGGCGCGCCUAACACAUGCAAGUCGAACGAGAGAUGAGGAGCUUGCUCUUCAGAUCGAGUGGCGAACGGGUGAGUAACGCGUGAGGAACCUGCCUCAAAGAGGGGGACAACAGUUGGAAACGACUGCUAAUACCGCAUAAGCCCACGGCUCGGCAUCGAGCAGAGGGAAAAGGAGCAAUCCGCUUUGAGAUGGCCUCGCGUCCGAUUAGCUAGUUGGUGAGGUAACGGCCCACCAAGGCGACGAUCGGUAGCCGGACUGAGAGGUUGAACGGCCACAUUGGGACUGAGACACGGCCCAGACUCCUACGGGAGGCAGCAGUGGGGAAUAUUGCACAAUGGGGGAAACCCUGAUGCAGCGACGCCGCGUGGAGGAAGAAGGUCUUCGGAUUGUAAACUCCUGUUGUUGAGGAAGAUAAUGACGGUACUCAACAAGGAAGUGACGGCUAACUACGUGCCAGCAGCCGCGGUAAAACGUAGGUCACAAGCGUUGUCCGGAAUUACUGGGUGUAAAGGGAGCGCAGGCGGGAAGACAAGUUGGAAGUGAAAUCUAUGGGCUCAACCCAUAAACUGCUUUCAAAACUGUUUUUCUUGAGUAGUGCAGAGGUAGGCGGAAUUCCCGGUGUAGCGGUGGAAUGCGUAGAUAUCGGGAGGAACACCAGUGGCGAAGGCGGCCUACUGGGCACCAACUGACGCUGAGGCUCGAAAGUGUGGGUAGCAAACAGGAUUAGAUACCCUGGUAGUCCACACCGUAAACGAUGAUUACUAGGUGUUGGAGGAUUGACCCCUUCAGUGCCGCAGUUAACACAAUAAGUAAUCCACCUGGGGAGUACGACCGCAAGGUUGAAACUCAAAGGAAUUGACGGGGGCCCGCACAAGCAGUGGAGUAUGUGGUUUAAUUCGACGCAACGCGAAGAACCUUACCAAGUCUUGACAU
rnacentral:rRNA from 1 species